GUUGUGGGGACAGCAGGUGUGCGUGUGUGCCUGUGUUUGUGGGUGCGUGCUCAGACGUGGGUCCUCAAGGGGUCCCGGGCCUGCCCCUUCCUUCUCUGGGCCUCAGUUGUCUCCUGGGAGACCCGUGGAUGAUCCGGCUUGGGCCAUUUGUUUGCUAAGUCCAGGUCCCUGUGUGGGUGGCAGGUCCCGGGGCUGGAGCUGUGACUUCCCCUCUGGGUCUGAGUGUGAGCACGUGCGAUGCGCUGGGCUCCCCUCUGGGCGUGAGAGUGAGCACCUGCGAUGUGCUGGGCUCCCCUCUGGGCGUGAGAGUGAGCACCUGCGAGGUGCUGGGCUCCCCUCUGGGCGUGAGAGUGAGCACCUGCCAUGUGGUGGGCUCCCCUCUGGGUGCGGGUGCUUGCCGCUUCUGGGAUCCUCUCCAGCCGAAGGAACCAGGAGCGGGGAGAGCCUGGGAGCUCAGCCUGUGGGGCUGGGCAGGCUGCCCCGAAUCAAAUCCAGCCCCCUCUCUGCUGACCGCGUGCCCGGGAACCUCGCCGUGCCUCGCUGUGCACUCCUCCCCGUCUGUAAGACUGGAGCAGGACCGAGGGUCAGAGCGGCCGCUGUGGGCCUGGCCCUGCUCACCGCCCUGGGAUUGGGGUGGAGCUCAGAGAGGGCCAGGAGCCAGCGGCUGGUCGCACAGCAAUCAGUGGUGGAGAUGAGCCUCAAACUCAGGUCCCCAGACCCGAGUCUAGGGAGACAGUGGCCCUGUUUGACCAGUGGACACCCCCACAGAAGACGUAAACAUAAGACCUGAAGCUGUAAAACUCCUAGAGGGAAACAGGGGAAAUGCUGUUUGACAUGGGUCUUGGCAAUGAUUUUUUGGAUAUGAAGCCAAAAGCACAGGCGAAAAAGCAAAAAUAGACAAGUGGGACUACACCAAACUCAAAAGCUUCUGCACAGCAAAGGAAACAACAAAAUGAAAAGGCAGCCUACGGAAUGGGAGGGAAUAUUUGCAAACCCUCUCUCUGAUAAGGGGUUAACAUCCAAGAUAUAUAAGGAACUGCUGUCACUCAAUAGCAGAAAACCAAAUCAGCCAAUUAAAAAGUGGGCAAUGGAUUUGAAUCGACAUUUAUCCAAAGAAGACAAAUAAUCAGCCGGUAUAUAAAAAGGCACCCGACAUCACUUAUCACCAGGACAUGCAAAUCAAAGCCACAGUGAGACCGACUUGCACCUGUUAGGAUGGCUGGCAUCAAAAAGACAAGAUGGC
rnacentral:lncRNA from 1 species